UGGGGAAUAUUGGACAAUGGGGGAAACCCUGAUCCAGCCAUGCCGCGUGUGUGAAGAAGGCCUUCGGGUUGUAAAGCACUUUAAGCAGGGAGGAAAGGGUAGUGGCUAAUAUCCAUUAUCAUUGACGUUACCUGCAGAAUAAGCACCGGCUAACUUCGUGCCAGCAGCCGCGGUAAUACGAAGGGUGCAAGCGUUAAUCGGAAUUACUGGGCGUAAAGCGCGCGUAGGCGGUUUGAUAAGUUGGAUGUGAAAUCCCCGGGCUCAACCUGGGAAUUGCAUCCAAGACUGUCAGGCUAGAGUACGGGAGAGGGGGGUAGAAUUCCACGUGUAGCGGUGAAAUGCGUAGAGAUGUGGAGGAAUACCGGUGGCGAAGGCGGCCCCCUGGAUCGAUACUGACGCU
rnacentral:rRNA from 1 species